CCAAGUCUCUAUUUCCAAGGGGCUUGCUUAAUAAAUACCUUCCCCAACCAUCUGUGCCACAAGAAUGGACUCUCACAAAGGAUGAAGUGAAUAAAAUUUAAAAAUUGUUUUUGGAUUAACAUCAGCAUCUGUAAAGAGCAAAUACUGAGGCUGGAUGUUUGAAUCUCCAAAAAUGAGAAUGACAGGGUGAGCCUGGGCCCCGGAGAUGGGAGAUCUAAGCAGAAAGGACUCAGAGUCAUUAACUCUAAAUCUCUUCCCCCUGCUGGGUUUGCUAGAUUAGAGUCAAGGAACAUUAGCGCAUUAAAUGUGGCCAGAGUUCCUGAUAAAGACUCUAAUUGAAAGAGGAACUUUUCCGGCACCUUUCACUUUCAUCUACAGCCCCCUCAACCUUUAUCUUAGAUUAACAGAGAAAAAAACCAAAACAAAAACCUGAGACCUGAAGAAAUGGUAGCAUGAGAGAAAGCUCUUUAUCACUUUUUUUUCUGCCUCUUCUGUAAACAUUAUCUUUGUCAAACACCUCUCUAAAAAAUGAGAAUGAAUAAAAACUUUUAAAACACUUAAAAAAUAAAAUGACACUCUUCUAAGGAAUAUUAUAAGUUUCAAUCUCCAGGCUUUGAAGCACUCUUAUGGGGCAUUUUUCUACAAAGGUCUUUAAAUAACUCUUCUCUAAAACUUAUCAGCUGUCUUUCGUUGACAGUUCUAGUUUGCCAAUCCAUGAUUACUUGUCAUAGCUCGUUUCAAGCGUUAACGUGUAAUAUGAUAGCGCUUUUUUCCUUCUUACAGUUCUCAUCUCAAAAGAUUUCCUGUUUAUGUUGAGGUCCUGAGUACCCUUCCAAUCUGCUGGGAGCUCAUAGAAUUAUGGGACUUAAGAGCCAGCGUGGAGCUUGGAUAUCCCCUUGUCGACCUCUCACAUAUCCAGGCUUUGACCACCUGAUCAGCCUUCAGAUCCUCGUCAUUUUUACGGCUGACUCCAUUAGUCUCUGUCCACACAAACUCUUUCAUUCCGUGGGAAAGGAGAAAUGGACUGAGAUAAAGAAGAAAACAUGAAUUGGUCAAAUCUUUUAUGAUUUCUGAUUGCCUGAGCUUCGUUUAUCAUGUUCAUGGCUUUCAUUCUGGGUGCACGGCAUUGUGAAAGGAGACGGUUGCCGGGGCACACACAGCCCGCAAUGAGCGAUAAAUUUGAGAAUCUGUCAAUAGAGGCACUCGCUCUCCCAGGUAAUUGUCUAAC
rnacentral:lncRNA from 1 species